rnacentral:rRNA from 1 species
UACGUAGGGUCCGAGCGUUGUCCGGAAUUACUGGGCGUAAAGAGCUCGUAGGUGGUUUGUCGCGUUGUUCGUGAAAACUCACAGCUCAACUGUGGGCGUGCGGGCGAUACGGGCAGACUAGAGUACUGCAGGGGAGACUGGAAUUCCUGGUGUAGCGGUGAAAUGCGUAGAUAUCAGGAGGAACACCGGUGGCGAAAGCGCGUAACUGGGUCAUAACUGACGCUGAGGAACGAAAGCCAGGGUAGCAAAAAAGG